rnacentral:tRNA from 1 species
GGUCUCGUGGUAUAGCGAUUUAUUAUGUCCCCCUGUCACGGGGACGAUACGGGUUUGACUCCCGUCGAGACCGCCA